AUUGAACGCUGGCGGCAGGCCUAACACAUGCAAGUCGAGCGAGCGGCGGACGGGUGAGUAAUGUCUGGGAAACUGCCUGAUGGAGGGGGAUAACUACUGGAAACGGUAGCUAAUACCGCAUACCAUCAGAUGUGCCCAGAUGGGAUUAGCUAGUGGUUGGGGUAAUGGCUCACCUAGGCGACGCUCCCUAGCUGGUCUGAGAGGAUGACCAGCCACACUGGAACUGAGACACGGUCCAGACUCCUACGGGAGGCAGCAGUGGGGAAUAUUGCACAAUGGGCGCAAGCCUGAUGCAGCCAUGCCGCGUGUAUGAAGAAGGCCUUCGGGUUGUAAAGUACUUUCAGCGAGGAGGCGUUACUCGCAGAAGAAGCACCGGCUAACUCCGUGCCAGCCGCCGCGGUAAUAC
rnacentral:rRNA from 1 species